rnacentral:rRNA from 1 species
AGAGCGAACGCUGGCGGCAGGCCUAACACAUGCAAGUCGAGCGCCGUAGCAAUACGGAGCGGCAGACGGGAGAGUAACACGUGGGAACGUACCCUUCAGUUCGGAACAACCCAGGGAAACUUGGGCUAAUACCGAAUACGUCCGUAAGGAGAAAGAUUUAUCGCUGAAGGAUCGGCCCGCGUCUGAUUAGCUUGUUGGUGAGGUAAUGGCUCACCAAGGCUACGAUCAGUAGCUGGUCUGAGAGGAUGAUCAGCCUCACUGGGACUGAGACACGGCCCAGACUCCUACGGGAGGCAGCAGUGGGAAUAUUGGACAAUGGGCGCAAGCCUGAUCCAGCCAUGCCGCGUGGGUGAUGAAGGCCCUAGGGUUGUAAAGCCCUUUCGGCGGGAAGAUAAUGACGGUACCCGCAGAAGAAGCCCGGCUAACUUCGUGCCAGCAGCCGC